AUACGGAGGGGGCUAGCGUUGUUCGGAAUUACUGGGCGUAAAGCGUACGUAGGCGGACUGAUCAGUUGGGGGUGAAAUCCCAGGGCUUAACCCUGGAACUGCCUUCAAUACUGCCAGUCUUGAGUUUGGGAGAGGUGAGUGGAAUUCCUAGUGUAGAGGUGAAAUUCAUAGAUAUUAGGAGGAACACCAGUGGCGAAGGCGGCUCACUGGCCCAUUACUGACGCUGAGGUACGAAAGCGUGGGGAGCAAACAGGAUUAGAUACCCUAGUAGUCC
rnacentral:rRNA from 1 species